CCGUGCAGCCGGGGCGGUAGCGGUGCCCUAUACCUACAAUCCGCUAUAGAUGGGGUGAUAUUCUGCCUCGGGUCUUAAAUUGUAGAGCUGCCCUUUAUAAGUGGCGAUGACGUUUGGGUCUUACGCAACAGAAAUUUAUGAAUCGUGUCAGGUCAGGAAUGAAGCAGCACUAAGUAAAACCUUCUGUGUGCCGUAAGGGUGCCUGGACUGAGUUAACUGUAGAGGUAACGUCUGUGAUUUGGAUUCAAAGCAGAAUGCACGG
rnacentral:SRP_RNA from 1 species